AAAGAUAUAGCUCAGUGGCAGAGUGCAGUGCUUAGCAUGCACAAGGUCCUGGGUUCAAUCCCCAGCACCUCCA
rnacentral:tRNA from 1 species